UACAGAGGUGGCAAGCGUUGUUCGGAAUUACUGGGCGUAAAGGGCGCGUAGGCGGUUCGUUAAGUCCUGUGUGAAAUCCCCCGGCUCAACUGGGGAACUGCACAGGAAACUAGCGGGCUUGAGUUCGGGAGAGGGAAGCGGAAUUCCGGGUGUAGCGGUGAAAUGCGUAGAUAUUGGGAGGAACACCGGUGGCGAAGGCGGCCCCCUGGACCGGUACUGACGCUGAGGCGCGAAAGCGUGGGUAGCAAACGGG
rnacentral:rRNA from 1 species